rnacentral:rRNA from 1 species
UACGGGGGGAGCAAGCGUUGUUCGGAUUUACUGGGCGUAAAGGGCGCGUAGGCGGCCAGUGCAAGUCAGUUGUGAAAUCUCCGGGCUUAACUCGGAAAGGUCAACUGAUACUGCUCGGCUAGAGUGCGGAAGGGGCAACUGGAAUUCUUGGUGUAGCGGUGAAAUGCGUAGAUAUCAAGAGGAACACCUGCGGCGAAGGCGGGUUGCUGGGCCGACACUGACGCUGAUGCGCGAAAGCUAGGGGAGCGAACGGG